rnacentral:rRNA from 1 species
GAUGAACGCUGGCGGCGUGCCUAAUACAUGCCAGUCGAGCGAACAGACGAGGAGCUUGCUCCUCUGACGUUAGCGGCGGACGGGUGAGUAACACGUGGAUAACCUACCUAUAAGACUGGGAUAACUUCGGGAAACCGGAGCUAAUACCGGAUAAUAUAUUGAACCGCAUGGUUCAAUAGUGAAAGACGGUUUUGCUGUCACUUAUAGAUGGAUCCGCGCCGCAUUAGCUAGUUGGUAAGGUAACGGCUUACCAAGGCAACGAUGCGUAGCCGACCUGAGAGGGUGAUCGGCCACACUGGAACUGAGACACGGUCCAGACUCCUACGGGAGGCAGCAGUAGGGAAUCUUCCGCAAUGGGCGAAAGCCUGACGGAGCAACGCCGCGUGAGUGAUGAAGGUCUUCGGAGCGUAAAACUCUGUUAUUAGGGAAGAACAAAUGUGUAAGUAACUAUGCACGUCUUGACGGUACCUAAUCAGAAAGCCACGGCUAACUACGUG